CUCUUCAGAUCUUGAAGAUGCGUGUCAAACCAAAAACAACUUGCAAAAAGAUUAAACGUUGCUCAGCAAACAAUUUCCAAUUUACAAGCAAUGGGAAAGAUUUUAAAAGAAAGAAAAUGGGUGCCACAUCAACUGAAUGAAAGACAAAU